AGAGUUUGAUCCUGGCUCAGAACGAACGCUGGCGGCAGGCUUAACACAUGCAAGUCGAACGCCCCGCAAGGGGAGUGGCAGACGGGUGAGUAACGCGUGGGAAUCUACCCUUUUCUACGGAACAACUGAGGGAAACUUCAGCUAAUACCGUAUACGGCCGAGAGGCGAAAGAUUUAUCGGAGAAGGAUGAGCCCGCGUUGGAUUAGCUAGUUGGUGGGGUAAAGGCCUACCAAGGCGACGAUCCAUAGCUGGUCUGAGAGGAUGAUCAGCCACACUGGGACUGAGACACGGCCCAGACUCCUACGGGAGGCAGCAGUGGGGAAUAUUGGACAAUGGGCGCAAGCCUGAUCCAGCCAUGCCGCGUGAGUGAUGAAGGCCCUAGGGUUGUAAAGCUCUUUCACCGGUGAAGAUAAUGACGGUAACCGGAGAAGAAGCCCCGGCUAACUUCGUGCCAGCAGCCGCGGUAAU
rnacentral:rRNA from 1 species